GAUGAACGCUGGCGGCGUGCUUAACACAUGCAAGUCGAACGGAAAGGCCCCUGCUUGCAGGGGUACUCGAGUGGCGAACGGGUGAGUAACACGUGGGUGACCUGCCCUGCACUUCGGGAUAAGCCUGGGAAACUGGGUCUAAUACCGGAUAGGACGAUGGUUUGGAUGCCAUUGUGGAAAGUUUUUUCGGUGUGGGAUGAGCUCGCGGCCUAUCAGCUUGUUGGUGGGGUAACGGCCUACCAAGGCGUCGACGGGUAGCCGGCCUGAGAGGGUGUACGGCCACAUUGGGACUGAGAUACGGCCCAGACUCCUACGGGAGGCAGCAGUGGGGAAUAUUGCACAAUGGGCGCAAGCCUGAUGCAGCGACGCCGCGUGGGGGAUGACGGCCUUCGGGUUGUAAACUCCUUUCGCUAGGGACGAAGCGCAAGUGACGGUACCUGGAGAAGAAGCACCGGCUAACUACGUG
rnacentral:rRNA from 1 species